GUCUAUGGCCAUAUCACCCAGAACGUGCCCGAUCCCAUCUGAUCUUGGAAGCUAAGCAGGGUCAGGUCUGGUUAGUACUUGGAUGGGAGACUGACUGGGAAUACCAGGUGCUGUAGGCU
rnacentral:rRNA from 1 species